AUUGAACGCUGGCGGCGUGCCUAAUACAUGCAAGUCGAACGGAGUGGCGCCCGCGUGAGUAAUGUAUAGGUAAUCUGCCCUACACUAGAGGACAACAUUUGGAAACGGCUGCUAAUACUCUCUAGUGUAGGAUGAGGCUAUAUUGUAUCAUCUAGUUGAUGAGGUAAUGGCUCACCAAUGCGAUGACGCAUAACUUGUGUGAGAGGAUGAGCAGGCACAUGUGAAGUGAGGCACGGGGCAGGCACCUACGGGAGGCGGCAGUAGGGAAUAGUGCUCAAUGGGGGAAACGCUAAAGCAGCAUCGCCGCGUUGAGGAUGAUAAUUUUCGGAGCGUAAACUAAGUUUGUUAGGGAAGCGGUACCUAACGAAUAAGCACCGGCUAACUCCGUGCCAGCAGCCGCGGUAAUAC
rnacentral:rRNA from 1 species